GACGAACGCUGGCGGCGUGCUUAACACAUGCAAGUCGAACGGUGAAGGGGCCUGCUUUUGUGGGCCCUGGAUGAGUGGCGAACGGGUGAGUAACACGUGAGUAACCUGCCCCCUUCUUCUGGAUAACCGCAUGAAAGUGUGGCUAAUACGGGAUAUUCUGGGUCUGUCGCAUGAUGGGUCUGGGAAAGAUUGCGCCUUUGGGUGUUUUUGGGGGGGGAUGGGCUCGCGGCCUAUCAGCUUGUUGGUGGGGUGAUGGACUACCAAGGCGGUGACGGGUAGCCGGCCUGAGAGGGUGGACGGUCACACUGGGACUGAGACACGGCCCAGACUCCUACGGGAGGCAGCAGUGGGGAAUAUUGCACAAUGGGCGCAAGCCUGAUGCAGCGACGCCGCGUGAGGGAUGGAGGCCUUCGGGUUGUAAACCUCUUUCGCCAGUGAAGCAGGCCUGCUCCUUGUGGGUGGGUUGACGGUAGCUGGAUAAGAAGCGCCGGCUAACUACGUG
rnacentral:rRNA from 1 species